rnacentral:rRNA from 1 species
AUUGAACGCUGGCGGCAUGCUUUACACAUGCAAGUCGAGCGGUAACAGGCCUUCGGGUGCUGACGAGUGGCGAACGGGUGAGUAAUGCAUCGGAACGUACCCAGAGGUGGGGGAUAACGCAGCGAAAGCUGUGCUAAUACCGCAUGUGAUCUGAGGAUGAAAGCGGGGGACCGAGCAGCAAUGUUUGGCCUCGCGCCUUUGGAGCGGCCGAUGUCGGAUUAGCUAGUUGGUGGGGUAAAGGCCUACCAAGGCGACGAUCCGUAGCUGGUCUGAGAGGACGACCAGCCACACUGGGACUGAGACACGGCCCAGACUCCUACGGGAGGCAGCAGUGGGGAAUUUUGGACAAUGGGCGCAAGCCUGAUCCAGCAAUGCCGCGUGCGGGAAGAAGGCCUUCGGGUUGUAAACCGCUUUUGGCAGGAACGAAACGGUGUCCGCUAAUACCGGACGCUAAUGACGGUACCUGCAGAAUAAGCACCGGCUAACUACGUG